AAGGGAGGUGGGUAACCUAACCCCGGGGUAGGGGUAACCCCUUAUCGAGGGGGUAACAGGCGGUCGGGGUAAUACGCUACCGGGGGGAUAACAGACAGGGUAACCCAUUUUUGGGCGGGGCCCCAGCGCGAAGCGCCCAGGGGGACCCCGACCUGUAGGAUUGCCCAUGUCCGUGUGUGUGUGUGUGUGUGUGUGUGUGUGUGUGUGUGUGUGUGUGUGUGUGUGUGUGUGUGUGUGUGUGUGUGUGUGUGUGUGUGUGUGUGUGUGUGUGUGUGUGUGUGUGUGUGUGUGUGUGUGUGUGUGUGUGUGUGUGUGUUCGUGUGUGUGUAAUGGACCAAACAUAAUAUCUCGC
rnacentral:lncRNA from 1 species